GCCGAGGUGGUGGAAUCAGGUAGACACGCCAUCUUGAGGGGGUGGUGGGCGUAAGCCCGUAGGAGUUCAAAUCUCCUCCUCGGCACCA
rnacentral:tRNA from 2 species